AACGAACGCUGGCGGCAUGCCUAACACAUGCAAGUCGAACGAGACCUUCGGGUCUAGUGGCGCACGGGUGCGUAACGCGUGGGAACCUGCCUUUAGGUUCGGAAUAACUCAGAGAAAUUUGAGCUAAUACCGGAUGAUGUCUUCGGACCAAAGAUUUAUCGCCUUUAGAUGGGCCCGCGUUGGAUUAGCUAGUUGGUGGGGUAAAGGCCUACCAAGGCGACGAUCCAUAGCUGGUCUGAGAGGAUGAUCAGCCACACUGGGACUGAGACACGGCCCAGACUCCUACGGAAGGCAGCAGUGGGGAAUAUUGGACAACGGGCGAAAGCCUGAUCCAGCUAUGCCGCGUGAGCGAUGAAGGCCUUAGGGUUGUAAAGCUCUUUUACCCGAGAUGAUAAUGACAGUACCGGGAGAAUAAGCUCCGGCUAACUCCGUG
rnacentral:rRNA from 1 species